GACGAACGCUGGCGGCGUGCUUAACACAUGCAAGUCGAGCGGUAAGGCCCUUUCGGGGGUACACGAGCGGCGAACGGGUGAGUAACACGUGGGUGACCUGCCCUCAGCUCUGGGAUAAGCCUGGGAAACCGGGUCUAAUACCGGAUAUGACUCCAUGACGCAUGUUGUGGGGUGGAAAGCCUUGUGCGGCUGAGGAUGGGCCCGCGGCCUAUCAGCUUGUUGGUGGGGUGAUGGCCUACCAAGGCGACGACGGGUAGCCGGCCUGAGAGGGCGACCGGCCACACUGGGACUGAGACACGGCCCAGACUCCUACGGGAGGCGAGCAGUGGGGAAUCUUGCGCAAUGGGCGAAAGCCUGACGCAGCGACGCCGCGUGAGGGAUGACGGCCU
rnacentral:rRNA from 1 species